rnacentral:tRNA from 1 species
UCCCUGGAGGUCCAGUGGUUAAGACUCCACACUUCUAAUGUAGGGGACAGGGGUUCAAUCCCUGGUCAGGGAA